UCCAGUACCUCUGAAUGUUCAUCUCCAGCCCCCACCAUUUUCUCUCUGCAAGCUGUUAGUAAGCAUGUAUGCAUGCAUCGAGCUGAUGAUGGGGAAAGUUGCCAGCAUUGCUGCAUGCAUGUACACACACAUGCAUGUGUAGUGCUGCUUCUUUCUAGUUUAGAUCUGUAGUGUGAGUGCAUGUUUCAGUGUGUAUUUCUUUUUCUGCUCUUUUUUUUAUCCUUUUGAAUGUUUCUUCUAUGGAAAAAUCUGAUUUGAUUUUUCCAUACUUGACAGUAAAACUAAUUUUAAAUUAAUGUGUGUGCAUGCAACUAUCUAAUUGGUCUUCAGAAAAAUGGUUAACAUGUAAAGAUCCCUACAUUUUGGGCACACAUGUUGUACUCAGGUUCUCUAUCUCUCUCUUUACAAAUAUAUAUAUAUAUGCCUGUUGCUAUUUUCGAAAUAAAUCAGGAAUUUUGAAAGAAACUCAAGUUAACUUGCUUAAACUUGUGAAUUUUCUGAGUUAGUGCACAACCUGUUUGUAUCCUGGCACCAAGUAAUAUAAAAUCAAUAUGCAAAUGUUCAGAGUUAGUGCAAAACCUGUUGUUAGCAUUUUCAUGCACUGCAUUAUUACUAGAAAGUUAGUUUUAACAAAGGGUACCAGAUCAACCCCUAUUUGAUUUAAUGUUCU
rnacentral:lncRNA from 1 species